GCUAUUUCUUUGGCCACUCCUGCGGCAUAUGGAGGUUCCCAGGCUAGGGGUCUAAUCGGAGCUGUAGCUGCCAGCCUACGCCAGAGCCACAGCAACGCGGGAUCCGAGCUGCGUCUGUGACCUACACCACAGCUCACGGCAACGCCGGAUCCUUAACCCACUGAGCAAGGGCAGGGAUCGAACCCCAACCUCAUGGUUCCUAGUCGGAUUCGUUAACCACUGCGCCACGACGGGAACUCCUGAAGCUGUUUUCUAAUCACGCUCUGUGACUUUCGACACAUCUUGGUCAUCAGCAAAAGGCACUAAACUAACUUACAUCAGGGAAAGUGGCUACUCUGUCAUCCUUUUGUGGUUCAUCUCUUUUUUCAUUUGAUGACGAAAUAUUUAUUCUGCAGCUCUCACAGGCAACGUACUUUAGUAGAGUUUCAUGGGGCCUUCCCUUCCGAUGGUUCUCCAAAGGCCAAGGAGAGGAGAGAGUUAUGGAGAGAAGCUGUGUCUACAGGGGCUCUGGAGGUAACUGGAAAGUCCAUGCCACAGUGAAAAGGUACAGCUGCUCCUCAAGGACCAACUGCAGGGCCCAUGUUGCGAGAUAUUUUGUUUGGCCAAACCACAUGGAAGAAACCAAACAUGUCUGGGACCCAUCAUUUGCAGGCUCUGAACCAAAGGGAUCUGGGGAAGCAAAGAGUUUGAAGAUCUGGAAUGAGAGUUAUCCAAAUUAGCCUAUGAAGACAGAAGUGUCUCCCCAGCAGAGGGAACCACUCAAAUGACAGAUGGUGUUUGAAGCUCUUCUGGUGCUUUCUCAUACCAUCUCUUUGACCUUGACUUUGAUUCUCAUCUGUCAAUCCCAAAGAGCAGUGACCAUCCAAAGCUGGCCUACCUCACAGGGUCCUGUCAGAAAAAAGAAGGAAAUGGACGAGAAAUGGACCAUAAACCUUUGAUACCCCCAAAGGAUGGUCCUUGGACAAGCAGCAGCAGCAGCAGCAUCACCACUUGGGAACUUGUUAGAAAUGCAGACUCUCAGCUCUACCCCAGGCCUAUGGAAGAGGAAUUAUUUAACAAGAUCCCUGGGGGAUUCGCAGGCUCAAGAAUGUUUGAGGGGCCCUGCUGUAAAUUGCAAAAAUGUUAAUUAGGACCAACGUAUUUAGCAAGCUACCCAUGUCUGCCUGUGUUCCUAGGUGGACGUGGGUACCAGCUUUAGGAACAGAUUACAACUUAGAGUGUUCGAGCUUCUCUCCUCUCCAGGGACCAAAAGGUGAAAUACCCGUGGCUUAGACAAUUGCUUCUAGUUAUACUGGGAAGCACCCAGCAAGAGAAAAAGAAAAGGUGCUGAUUCAAAGAUUAUCAGUUAAUGAAAAGAUAAGAUGGCCCCGGGCCAUGGGAUCAGACAGGUCUCAGCUCAAAUCCGCCAGUUAGUAUUUAAGUGUGAUCACAGGAAAGUUACUGAAACUUUCAGAGGCUCAGUUUCCUCACCCAUAAAAUAAGAAUAUACUAGUAUUUACUUCAUAAUAUCAUCAGGAAUAUCAAAUAUUGUAACAUAUGUUAACACACUGAGGCCGUGGGAUGACCUCCUGACCUCCCAGCCCUGUUGCAGGCACUUUAUAAACACCGUGUGUUGUAAUGGCCCAUCUGAACCCAGAGAUGGCUGAAAUCAGUUGACUUUGGCAUUCCUGGUUAUCCCUAAAUCCAAGCCAACAGCUUUUAGACGAUAUUUGCAUUAGAUACGAACCAGCUUCAUAUGUGUCAUGCAUAAGAGAAGAGCUUCCUUCAGUGUGGCGUUUGUUGCUUAAUAUUAAAUCAUUCAUACAAGGAGCCAGUGGUAUGUGUGCUGGGAGCUUCCGCAGAAGUGAUGUGCAAACAUCAACUGGCAAGUUAUUAGGUCAUUACCCAUAAUGAUAAUGUCUGCAAUCUUCAAGAAAUAAAGCAACCCACCAUUUGAGAAAAAAGGUCUUUGUUGGAAGCCUUGGGCUUUGCGACGAGAGAGAUGACUAAUGCUCAAAGCAGAAGGUCUCCUAGAAAACAUACUUUAUAUUCAGCUACCUAGAAUUUCAGCCUGGCAUGUGUUAUUAUUGGGAAAUGUCCUGGUGACAAUUUUAAAAAGCAGAGUGAGAAAAUAUUCAUGGAGAAGGGUGAGGGGGGCCACUUCAUAAGACUUCUGGUGGCUCCAGCUUAGAAAUCAUUAUCCUUAUGUUAUCCUCAUACCAAGAGAACAUAAAUCAGGAGCAGGGAUAAAGCAAGUGAAACCAAACAGGGACAAAGACACUACACCGUAGGGCUGAGACUUGCCUAUCAAAUUAAGAGCUUUGGGCCUUGACUUUUCAACUGGUAGCAACUAUUUUCAGCAAAAUGUACAUACUGAUUUUCUAUACAUUUCCCCCACAUAGGGCUAUAUAAACACACUCACACAUAUAUAGUUCUUUCCAAGAUUGGAAAGUUUGAAGGGUUUUUGUGGCUUUUUUGCCAAGAAAGGGGACAGUGAAUCAUUGUCCAGAACGACCUUCAGAAAGUAUAUGAAGCCGAUGCACCAUCUGUAUUUUUUCAGACAUAUAUUCCCAUUUUACUUGAAAUAACAUCAUUAGCCCAGCCAUCCCACAGAGCUGGAAGGUGAUCUUGUUUCCUCCUUGCCUGGCUUGAAGUCAAACAUCUUUUCUUUUUUUUGGCAAAUGCUACUUCUUUCUCUGAAAUAUUUCAUGCAGAUAAUGGAUAAUGACCACUUCUCAUUGCCUUUUCUCGAAAACGUCUAACUGCAUUAGCCAAGAACGGACAACUUUUAACCUGCUUCUUUUGCUAAGUUCAUGGCUGUGACCACUUCCCAUUAAGAAAGAAAGAAAGAGAGAAGCAAGCUCACUGUUCCUUCAGAGAAGCUAAAUUGGCCCUGUCAGAAAGCGAUCUGGCCUUUGCUUUUCUGGUGAAAAGGCUUUGCUAUCUCUAGAAUCACAGAAGCCCAAGGUGGAGGGACCUUUCACGUCGUACAAGCAGUUACUCAGUCAGGCAAAAUUUCGCUGCCCUGGGAUUCUUCAAUUCUACCAUGGAUGGCUCAGACACCAGACCGUCCAGCCCUUCUUCAUGUUGGAUUCUCUGCCAGCGUGAUCACGGUGACCAUGGCUUUGAGGACCUGGUGUAUUGAAUUUCCUUCCCAUUCCCAGGAGGUGAGCAGGGUUUCCACACUCUUCUCAAACCCUACAGUUUGGCUUUUGUUCAUUUGCCAUGAGGCAAACCAAGAACUCAUCCCCUCAAAAAAACAUAAAGACUUAUUCUCUUAACUUGCCUUUGCAGCUCAGGGUGAAUGAGUUUAUCAGCCAGUUUCUAUAGAAGAACAAGUUGCCCCAGGAGCCAGCUGAGUCAGCAUUGCCCUCUAAGCCAGUGGUUCUCCACUGGGACUGCAUCUGUGCAUCUGGACAAGAUCUGGAGCUGUCUUCGGUUGUUACCACUGGAGACAAGGUGCUACUGGGAACCAGUGGGUGGGGAGGCCAGGGAUGCUGCUAAACACCCUACCAUGCACAGGACGGCCCCCCACAACAAAGACAUAUUCAGUCCCAAGGUGAAGCAGGGAACUCUCUGUGUUAUUAAAGGAGAAGAGAGAAGAAAGCACACAUAGCACCCUCAAAAGUGGUAUAACAGGGAAUUAAAGAGCAUGAGGCCUGGAGCAAGCCUGCCCAGGUUCAAAUCCCCCUUCUGCCACAUUUGUCUUUGGAGCAAACUCACAGCCUCGAUGGGUCGGUCUCAAGGUCUUUAUCUAUAAAUUAGAGAUAAUAACAGUACCUGCCUCAAAGAUGACUGGGAGACUUGAGCUGACUAGAAAGAACUCAGUAUUAUCAGAAUGCCUGGUAACAUUAAGCACUCAGUGCACGUUCCCUUUUAUUGGUAUUAUAGGAACAAAGACAUAGUCAUGAACAGCCACGUUUUGAAGCUAGAUUUCUCAGGAUUUCUAGUAUUUACUCCUUCAAGUGUUGGCUGAAAACAAAACAAAACAAAACAAAAGAACCGUCAGGAUCCUAGCAUUAUUCUCAAUCAAUUCCUUCUGGAUUCAUUUAAAUCCCCUUAUCAGAUUGCCUAUUUUUAUACUACAAGAAACAAACAAACAAAAAAGUUGAUGAUGAAAGGGAUUAGCAUUUCUAAAUAAUGCCGGUAAACGCCAUCAAAUAAAUCCUGACCUAUUUCAGUUCUUAAUUAACUAGGUUAGCUUUUACAGGAGGCAACUUAUAUAAAACAGCAAGACUGAUCGGAGGCCAAACCCAUGCUGGACAGUUGGAUGAAGCAGUUCUUGGAAAUGACCCAAAUUCUGGGAGAUACAGAGGUCUUCGAUCUUUUUGAAUCGACAGUUUGAAUAAUCUAAUGGAAAAUUCCCUGGGGUUUUCUGCCCCUUUGAUGUCAAGUUUAGGGCUUUUCAAGGUUUGUCAUCUUUUCUCUGCCCCUUCCUCUAAAGGAGAUGGAUAAAUGGGACAUGUCUUGAGUUCACUCUGUUAGCAAAGCCCUUCCCCACUUAAAGCACCGCACUGGUCAUUCUCCCAGGAGAAGAAAGCAGGCGGGGACACCGAUCUAGGGAUCUGAUGUUCUCCCAGGCAGAGCACAGACACAUGGCUUAGAACACAGCCACUGCCUGCCUUGUCCUCGAUAUUCUUUCUGACCUUUUAGAAUUUGUUUUUUCCUGUUUUAGGUAUUUCCUUCUCCUUUCAGAAUCUUCUCAUGUUAGUUUUCUGCCAGCUUCCAAAAUACUUUCAUGAAAGCUGAAUCCUCCUAAAAAGUAAUAAUAUAUGCAUAUUUUUUCUUGAAAAAAAAAAAAAAAAACGGGGGGGGGCAGUGUUCCGCUAAUGGGUUAGUUAAUUUGCUUCUCAGUGUAAAAGAUCUUUUUUCUUUUCCCGGGCAAAUAAUAAGAAGAUGACCCAGAGGUUUCAGACCUGGAGGAUGAUUAGGCCUGGGUCGAAUUAUUACAAAAGAUCUUUAGUUGCAGCCUCUAAAACCUUUGACUGACUAUUAGGAGAUGAUAAAAGGAACUAGACGUUGUACCUAAAGAGAGCUUCAAAGAGGACAUUGAUUGCCCUUCCAGGUCUUGUUAAUUUUUUGUUACUCAUAAACAUUGAAGUUGGCUAAUUCUUGGGCAGUGCCGAAAUCCCCCAACCUAUUAAGUAUGGGGGGAUAUUGGCACCACCAGGUCUAUGUGUAGGCCGAUUUGUCUAAGCCAAUCACCUUCAAACAGUGGCUUGUUAUAGAUAAUUCAGGGUAACCUAAGCCAAUAGGUGGUCAGAAUGCUGACCAUCAAAUAAGUGAUGGUUUGACUCGAUGGUUAAAAAAAGUAAGUCUCUUCCUUUCCUUUUUCCUGUUCUUAUGCAUAAAGAUACAGACUCAUGGACCAUUAACAAUUUGUUUAGCAUGAGGGAAGGCAGCCUGAAGACUCAGCCAAUACACAAGGGCACAGAGCCUACAAUACCGGAGCAAAGUCCUAGCCUUGAUCAAAUUCUACCUGAAGCUUGACUAUCUUUAGACUUUGAAAUUUCAUGAGCAAAUAAUCCCCUUUACGGCUUAUGAUGGUCUAAGGGUUGGGGUUAUUUGUAACUGAGGGCUUUAUGGUAUAUCUAUCAGUCUAUGCACAUUUCUUAGUUUUGUGCAGCUGUUAUUUUAUAAAGUGGAUAAUUUUUAUCAACAUGUACAUGUUAGUCUUGCAGGAUAAACAUUGUUUUGUUCCUUGGUGUGUGUAUUCUUUAGCUCCUAAUAAUUAUGGUGGGAAAAGAUUAUCAUUUCUUUGUUUGUUUGUUUGACACAGUAUAAGCCAAUCUCCUUUUGCUAGUCUGCUCAUUAAUUAUCCAUGAUGCAAAAGGUCGAUGCUGUAAAAUUUGGGCCUGGUGUUCAUAGUCAAGCACCUUACCCGUGGUUACUUUCAUACCGGCUAUUUCAAAUGCUGAGCUCACUUUACAUACCAUCUUCCCCUUGAGAACUUCUCCAAGACCCCCAAAUAGAGUCUUCCUUUCACUGUGAUCCAUACGACUUUAUCCAGAUCUGCCAGUGGACAAACCAAAUUGUGAUUCUCGAUCUUACCUCCCAGAUGGUAAGCUCCUUAAUUUGUUUUAUUUUGUUUUUUGUUUGUUUGUUUUUGGUUGCACCUGUGCCAUAUGGAAGUUCCUCCUGGGCCAGGGAUUGAACUUGCGCCAGUGUGGUGACCAGAGCCACAGCAGUGACAACACCAGGUCCUUAACCAGCUGCACCACGAGGGGGACUCUGGUAAACUCUUCAAGGGCAAGAAGGCUACUGGUGUUUAUCUUCCCAUUCCCAG
rnacentral:lncRNA from 1 species